rnacentral:sRNA from 1 species
GAAUGGAAACGGAGAUGCAACUCGAUCCGAACCGGUCGUUGCGCCAAGGCGGGCGAACGGAAGUGUUGAGGGAA